GUGGGGAAUAUUGGACAAUGGGCGAAAGCCUGAUCCAGCCAUGCCGCGUGUGUGAAGAAGGUCUUCGGAUUGUAAAGCACUUUAAGUUGGGAGGAAGGGCAGUAAGUUAAUACCUUGCUGUUUUGACGUUACCGAUAGAAUAAGCACCGGCUAACUUCGUGCCAGCAGCCGCGGUAAUACGAAGGGUGCAAGCGUUAAUCGGAAUUACUGGGCGUAAAGCGCGCGUAGGUGGUUUUGUAAGUUGGAGGUGAAAUCCCCGGGCUCAACCUGGGAACUGACUCAAAAACUGCAUGACUAGAGUACGGUAGAGGGUAGUGGAAUGUACUGUGUAGCGGUGAAAUGCGUAGAUAUAGGAAGGAACACCAGUGGCGAAGGCGACUACCUGGACUGAUACUGACACUGAGGUGCGAAAGCGUGGGGAGCAAACAGGAUUAGAAACCCGGGUAGUCC
rnacentral:rRNA from 1 species